rnacentral:lncRNA from 1 species
AUCUGUACGUUUCUCAUCUGACAGGCGCACCACCAAACGGUGUAUUUCGGAUUUUGCUAUAUAUAUACACGGGCCAUAAUCACAGGGUUGACACUACUAAAUUCAAUCAUUGUCAAACUGUUCUCUAUUGUAGUAUUUUAAGCAGUAAGACUUUCUAAGAUGACAAUACGAAUACUAAAAAUCUGGACUUAAAAUAAGGCGUAUAGGUACAGUUUUCAAUUUGUUAGCGGACAUGACAUAAAACAGCGAAUCAAAGAAUUCAA